CAGUUGGCGCUGCCGUUACAACUGCCUGUGAACGCUUUCAGCACCGUCAAGUUUGUGAAUCUCGGAUUUGACCACCAUUACGUGGAGAGGCCGCAGCCUGUCAAGAUGGAAGUAUUCACAAAUCGAUUAGGAAGCAUGUGCGUGUGCUACAGUCAGCCUGCUUGCGACAAACCAGAGCUCAUCUAUUCGGUGGUUCUCGUUCACAAAGGUGUGUGUGUGUGU